CGCUCAACCAACUGAGCCACCCAGGCACCCCUAUUUAAUUUUCUUAUAUUUCAUUUUUAAGUAGGGAAUAAGCAACAGCACGACAAAGGAGGCUAGCUGCUUACUUUCCUCUGAUGACUUCUCACACUCUGUAAGAAGACAAUAAAUACCAAAGUCUCUGACAGCUAGUCAUAUGGUGAUGGUCACGUCUAAAUGCUCUCCAUUAGGGAAGAAAAACACAAAUAGAUGGGGAGUUCCCAAGAAAGCCCAGGAGCUCAAAUCCUUGGGUCUGAUCAGCCUGGCAAAUAGGUGUUUCUUCAAACUAGUCCCUGUAAGGACAAUUGUCAAUGGUCUUGUCUUAGUACCUGAUACAGAGCAGGUGAUCAAUAACUGUCAGCUAUUAAAUCAAAUCCACUGGCUACGUUAUACCUCAGUCGGGAUGAACUGGGCCUGGCCAAUCCAAAUGGUGCUUACAGGUGAGCAGCAUUAUCAGCUGAGGUUACACAACACUCAAAGCUGCAUUUUCCCAGGGGCUUUAGGGCUCCCUGCAUCAUAGCCCAUAAUGACUAAGAAUUCUUUCUUGGAAUGUGGUGGGAUGGGGAAACGUAUGCAAGGAUUCCAUCCUGAUGACCUCCCCUCUGGGCUUUAACAGGAUUUCCUAAAAGUGACUUGGAUUUAUCCUGUCUUGUCCAAGGCUCCAGGACCUCUUUUUACAUGUCCUCUAACAAUGGAACUUGGUAGAGGAAGAGGAGUUUAGGACAUAGACACAUGCCGAGGAAAGACCACUUGAAGACAUAGAGAGAAGACAGCCACCUACAAGCCAAGGAGAGGGGCCUCGGAAGACACCAGCCCUGCCGACAGCCUUGAUCUCAGAUUUGCAGCCUCCACACGUAAAACCUGUUCCGGGAAACAGUGGUGACUUAAGAUGGCAACUCAUUCAUACAAGUCUCGAAUCUCGAAAUAACCACCGGAUUUCACCUCACAGUCAAGUGCUUUUUGAACACUUCUUUUGUCACACAGAAUAUCAAAAAGAUGUGUCCUCCAGAUUCAAGACUUAACAAAAUAAGCUUUUUUGUUUCAUCAAAGACAUUUUUAAGUCAAACUGGAAUUGUUUACUGUAAAUGGGGAGCUGUGGAGAAAACAGCGACUACUAGCACAGUUUGGUGCCACUCAGUGCCUUGCUUCAUGCUAAGGCCGGGCAGCUUCACCCUCAAUACAAAUGUCAACACAGUGAAAAAGGCAAAGCAGUAACAUUAUUUUCUAAAAAUAGCAUUGACUUUCUGGACCCUCUGGAAGAAUCUCUGGGAGAACCAAGGCCCAUGGAUUAUACUUUGAGAAUCACUGUACCACUAGUCUAUCUACCCCACGGAACCAUAACCUCCUGUUAUAUCUUCAGGGUACAG